rnacentral:rRNA from 1 species
UACACUCCUACGGGAGGCAGCAGUGGGGAAUCUUGCGCAAUGGGCGAAAGCCUGACGCAGCCAUGCCGCGUGAAUGAUGAAGGUCUUAGGAUUGUAAAAUUCUUUCACCGGGGACGAUAAUGACGGUACCCGGAGAAGAAGCCCCGGCUAACUUCGUGCCAGCAGCCGCGGUAAUACGAAGGGGGCUAGCGUUGCUCGGAAUUACUGGGCGUAAAGGGAGCGUAGGCGGACAUUUAAGUCAGGGGUGAAAUCCCGGGGCUCAACCUCGGAAUUGCCUUUGAUACUGGGUGUCUUGAGUAUGAGAGAGGUGUGUGGAACUCCGAGUGUAGAGGUGAAAUUCGUAGAUAUUCGGAAGAACACCAGUGGCGAAGGCGACACACUGGCUCAUUACUGACGCUGAGGCUCGAAAGCGUGGGGAGCAAACAGGAUUAGAUACCCCAGUAGUCCCAUGA